rnacentral:rRNA from 1 species
GACGAACGCUGGCGGCGUGCUUAACACAUGCAAGUCGAACGCUGAAGCACCAGCUUGCUGGUGUGGAUGAGUGGCGACCGGGUGAGUAAUACGUGAGUAACCUGCCCUUGACUCUGGGAUAAGCUCGGGAAACUGGGUCUAAUCCUGGAUGCUACAUGUCACCGCAUGGUGGUGUGUGGAAAGGUUUUACUGUUCUUGGAUGGGCUCACGGCCUAUCAGCUUGUUGGUGAGGUAAUGGCUCACCAAGUCGACGACGAGUAGCCGGACUGAGAGGGUGACCGGCCACACUGGGACUGGGACACGGCCCAGACUCCUACGGGAGGCAGCAGUGGGGAAGAUUGCACAAUGGGCGAAAGCCUGAUGCAGCGACGCCGCGGGAGGGAUGACGGCCAUCGGGUUGUAAACCUCAUUCAGCAGGAAAGAAGCCACAAGUGACGGUACCUGCAGAAGAAGCGCCGGCUAACUACGUG